CUUGGUGGAAAAAUGAAAAUCUUAACAUUAUAACUGAAUUUUUGUGGGUGCUACAAUCCCAUCGAUGCCGUACACCUCACCUAAUAGUUAUUAGUAAUAUAUACACUGAUGUGUAGAUAACUUUUUAUCCAGAUACUUCUCUAAGCAUAUUGUAGUGACUUGAUCUCUAAGUUAUGUGGACUCACUUAAUAUUUAUUUAUCAUACUCCUUAGUUAAUUCCGACCCAC
rnacentral:lncRNA from 1 species